rnacentral:rRNA from 1 species
UACGUAGGUGGCAAGCGUUGUCCGGAAUUAUUGGGCGUAAAGCGCGCGCAGGUGGUCUUUUAAGUCUGAUGUGAAAGCCCCCGGCUCAACCGGGGAGGGUCAUUGGAAACUGGGAGACUUGAGUGCAGAAGAGGAAGGUGGAAUUCCAAGUGUAGCGGUGAAAUGCGUAGAGAUCUGGAGGAACACCAGUGGCGAAGGCGGCUCUCUGGUCUGCAACUGACGCUGAGGCACGAAAGCGUGGGGAGCAAACAGG